CCUACGGGGGGCAGCAGUGAGGAAUAUUGGUCAAUGGGCGAGAGCCUGAACCAGCCAAGUCGCGUGAAGGAUGAAGGAUCUAUGGUUUGUAAACUUCUUUUAUAUGGGAAUAAAGUGAGGAACGUGUUCCUUUUUGUAUGUACCAUAUUAAUAAGCAUCGGCUAACUCCGUGCCAGCCGCCGCGGUAAUACGGAGGAUGCGAGCGUUAUCCGGAUUUAUUGGGUUUAAAGGGUGCGUAGGUGGUAAAUUAAGUCAGCGGUGAAAGUUUGUGGCUCAACCUUAAAAUUGCCGUUGAUACUGGUUGACUAGAGUAUAGUGGAGGUAGGCGGAAUGCGUGGUGUAGCGGUGAAAUGCAUAGAUAUCACGCAGAACUCCGAUUGCGAAGGCAGCUUACUAAACUAUAACUGACACUGAAGCACGAAAGCGUGGGGAUCAAACAGGAUUAGAUACCCCUGUAGUC
rnacentral:rRNA from 1 species